rnacentral:rRNA from 1 species
CACACGACUCUCGGCAACGGAUAUCUCGGCUCUCGCAUCGAUGAAGAACGUAGCAAAAUGCGAUACCUGGUGUGAAUUGCAGAAUCCCGCGAACCAUCGAGUUUUUGAACGCAAGUUGCGCCCGAGGCCUUCUGGCCGAGGGCACGCCUGCCUGGGCGUCACG